AAGAAAUUUAUUGGAAGGAUUUUCGUGGCCACGGUGAUUUAGUAAUUUUAAUAAAGCUUUAGGAUUUUUUUUCAAUUCUUCACAUUUGCACUCUUGGAUUCUUUCUUUGUGGUGUGAGAGAUAACUUGACUUAUUUGUUGUAGAUUCUUAAUCUUUCCAUUAGAGUAUGUCAAUUGUGCAUUUGUAUUUGGAUAAAAUUACAUACUUUGUGAUUGAUUUGUACCACUCAAAGUGUUGUAUAUAAUUAUCUUUGUUCAUAUAAUAAAAUGCUUAAGCUUAGAAUCAUUGCCAAAUGAAUUUAGCACCCUUGUAUCUUUAACUAUCUUCAAUAUAUGCAAUUGUUUAAGCUUAAUAUUUUACUACCAAAUAAAUUUGGCAACCUUAUUUCUUUGACCAUCUUUAAUAUAAAUUGGUGCUUAAAAUUGAAUUUAUUCUUAAAUGAAAUGGCAACCUCACAUUUGUGACCAUCUUUGAUAUGCAAGAGCUGAAGAUUAUUACUAUUGCUAAAUGUAUUGAAGAACUUCAUAUUUUUGAAUAAAUUUAGAAAUCAAAGAUUUAAAACUUAGAAAUUUAAAUAAAUAGGUGCAAUAAUCCAUGAUAAGACAUAAUCUAAAAUUUUAAGAAUUUUAUAUAACAUAUAGAAAAGGUUAAUUAAAUUAAAAUCGUGUUUGAAUCUAUUAUGUUUUUUAUUCAAAAUCCAGAAUUUUAUAUUAUUUAAAUUUUUAAUCUUGGUUAAAAAAAUAUA
rnacentral:lncRNA from 1 species